GUGUCAGCAGCCGCGGUAAGACAGAGGGGGCAAGCGUUGUCCGGAAUUACUGGGCGUACAGCGCACGCAGGUGGCCUGGCAAGUGUGGUGUGAAAGCCCCGCGCUUAACGCGGGGAGGCCAGCACAGACUGCCGGGCUCGAGGACUGCAGAGGGCGGUGGAAUUGCCGGUGUAGUGGUGAAAUGCGUAGAGAUCGGCAGGAACACCAAGGCCGAAGGGAGCCGCCUGGGCAGGCCCUGACACUCAUGUGCGACAGCGUGGGGAGCAAACCGGAUUAGAAACCCUAGUAGUCC
rnacentral:rRNA from 1 species